CUACGGGGGGCUCCAGUGGGGAAUAUUGGACAAUGGGGGAAACCCUGAUCCAGCAAUGCCGCGUGUGUGAAGAAGGCCUGCGGGUUGUAAAGCACUUUCGGUUGGGAGGACUGCUUCUAGCACUAAUAUUGUUGGAAGUUGACGUUACCUUCAGACGAAGCACCGGCUAACUCCGUGCCAGCAGCCGCGGUAAUACGGGGGGUGCAAGCGUUAAUCGGAAUUACUGGGCGUAAAGCGCGCGUAGGCGGCUAGAUCAGUCGGGUGUGAAAGCCCCGGGCUUAACCUGGGAACUGCAUCCGAUACUGUCUAGCUUGAGUACAGGAGAGGAGAGUGGAAUUCCACAUGUAGCGGUGAAAUGCGUAGAUAUGUGGAGGAACACCAAUGGCGAAGGCAGCUCUCUGGCCUGAUACUGACGCUGAGGUGCGAAAGCGUGGGGAGCAAACAGGAUUAGAUACCCUCGUAGUC
rnacentral:rRNA from 1 species